rnacentral:tRNA from 1 species
GAGGAUAUAGCUCAGUUGGUAGAGUGCUUGUCUUGCAAUGCACAAGGCCCUGGGUUUGAUCCCCAGUACCACCA